rnacentral:rRNA from 1 species
GUUACCUACGGGGGGCAGCAGUGGGGAAUAUUGCACAAUGGGGGAAACCCUGAUGCAGCAACGCCGCGUGAGUGAAGAAGUAUUUCGGUAUGUAAAGCUCUAUCAGCAGGGAAGAAGAUGACGGUACCUGACCAAGAAGCCCCGGCUAACUACGUGCCAGCAGCCGCGGUAAUACGUAGGGGGCAAGCGUUAUCCGGAUUUACUGGGUGUAAAGGGAGCGUAGACGGUUGUGCAAGUCUGGAGUGAAAGGCGGGGGCCCAACCCCCGGACUGCUUUGGAAACUGUAUAACUGGAGUGCAGGAGAG